rnacentral:rRNA from 1 species
CGAAUGCUGACAUAAGUAACGAUAAAGCGGGUGAAAAGCCCGCUCGCCGGAAGACCAAGGGUUCCUGUCCAACGUUAAUCGGGGCAGGGUGAGUCGACCCCUAAGGCGAGGCCGAAAGGCGUAGUCGAUGGGAAACAGGUUAAUAUUCCUGUACUUGGUGUUACUGCGAAGGGGGGACGGAGAAGGCUAUGUUGGCCGGGCGACGGUUGUCCCGGUUUAAGCGUGUAGGCUGGUUUUCCAGGCAAAUCCGGAAAAUCAAGGCUGAGGCGUGAUGACGAGGCACUACGGUGCUGAAGCAACAAAUGCCCUGCUUCCAGGAAAAGCCUCUAAGCAUCAGGUAACAUCAAAUCGUACCCCAAACCGACACAGGUGGUCAGGUAGAGAAUACCAAGGCGCUUGAGAGAACUCGGGUGAAGGAACUAGGCAAAAUGGUGCCGUAACUUCGGGAGAAGGCACGCUGAUAUGUAGGUGAAGUCCCUCGCGGAUGGAGCUGAAAUCAGUCGAAGAUACCAGCUGGCUGCAACUGUUUAUUAAAAACACAGCACUGUGCAAACACGAAAGUGGACGUAUACGGUGUGACGCCUGCCCGGUGCCGGAAGGUUAAUUGAUGGGGUCAGCGCAAGCGAAGCUCUUGAUCGAAGCCCCGGUAAACGGCGGCCGUAACUAUAACGGUCCUAAGGUAGCGAAAUUCCUUGUCGGGUAAGUUCCGACCUGCACGAAUGGCGUAAUGAUGGCCAGGCUGUCUCCACCCGAGACUCAGUGAAAUUGAACUCGCUGUGAAGAUGCAGUGUACCCGCGGCAAGACGGAAAGACCCCGUGAACCUUUACUAUAGCUUGACACUGAACAUUGAGCCUUGAUGUGUAGGAUAGGUGGGAGGCUUAGAAGUGUGGACGCCAGUCUGCAUGGAGCCGACCUUGAAAUACCACCCUUUAAUGUUUGAUGUUCUAACGUGGACCCGUGAUCCGGGUUGCGGACAGUGUCUGGUGGGUAGUUUGACUGGGGCGGUCUCCUCCUAAAGAGUAACGGAGGAGCACGAAGGUUGGCUAAUCCUGGUCGGACAUCAGGAGGUUAGUGCAAUGGCAUAAGCCAGCUUGACUGCGAGCGUGACGGCGCGAGCAGGUGCGAAAGCAGGUCAUAGUGAUCCGGUGGUUCUGAAUGGAAGGGCCAUCGCUCAACGGAUAAAAGGUACUCCGGGGAUAACAGGCUGAUACCGCCCAAGAGUUCAUAUCGACGGCGGUGUUUGGCACCUCGAUGUCGGCUCAUCACAUCCUGGGGCUGAAGUAGGUCCCAAGGGUAUGGCUGUUCGCCAUUUAAAGUGGUACGCGAGCUGGGUUUAGAACGUCGUGAGACAGUUCGGUCCCUAUCUGCCGUGGGCGCUGGAGAACUGAGGGGGGCUGCUCCUAGUACGAGAGGACCGGAGUGGACGCAUCACUGGUGUUCGGGUUGUCAUGCCAAUGGCACUGCCCGGUAGCUAAAUGCGGAAGAGAUAAGUGCUGAAAGCAUCUAAGCACGAAACUUGCCCCGAGAUGAGUUCUCCCUG